CAUGGAAAGCUAUGGUAUUCGUAUGAAACUUCGUCAUGGGAAAUUUGUUCGAUCGGUUACGCCGAGAAUGACGAAAACGACACCGACGUUCAAAGAUUUGUCCUGGUAUCGUUGAAAAAUUCUUCGCGCGUAGAAAUAUAUGAUCCAAGAAAGGGACCGAUGGGACGAAAGAAGGACGAAGAAGACGAACUGGCAAUCUCGUCGAUUUCACGAAGAAUACCUAUCUAUCUAUAUGGCGUUAUAUACCUGACACUGCUAUAUACUUUUAAACCAUAUAUAUAUAUAUGGAAUCUCCUACGAAGAAAUAGAAAAGAAUACGUAUCUAUUCUACAUGAUCGAGAAACAAAGGACAGAAAGAUCAAAAAGAAUUUAUUCGAGAUGAAUGAUGGACGACUUAUGGGUUCUCCUUCGUUCGAAGAAAACAAUUUGAAUCAAUUUGGAGUGAAUAUCAAAUAAAGAAGAGAAAGGAACGAUGUAUGUAUAAUCGAACGUUCCGUUUGGAUUCAAAAAAAGAAAAAAGGGAAGGACGAUCGAACUCUCAUAGACAAGCCUGUUAAUAGGAAUAUUAAAAAAAUGAGUAUCUUCAAAAUUUCUUGUUACCCGAGAAACGAGGCUUUAGAAAGAAAUAGAGAUAUUAUGGUACACAAAAGAAAAGAUGAAAGAAGAGCAGCAAAUCUCCAGAUACCAGAGACAACAAAUCCUAGAUCGACGUUAGCUUCGACCUUCUAGGUAUCUCUGGAAUAGCAGAGAACUACUUGGCCUCCGAAUUGGAUCACAACGAUCUCUCUUUUGGAAGGAACCAAGAUAGCAAUGAAGGAGAGUUCUCUCUGUCUCUCUCUCUCUCUCUCUUUCUCUCUCACUCACUCACUCACUAACUCGAGCUUGCAGACAAUGAGACAAUGGAGCGACGGUUGCAAGGAGCGAUAGCGCCGGAUUAAUUCCCAAUCGAUUCCAAGAGAACUCCUUUCGACUCUAUCCUUGGGGUUACCAUAUCAUUCUCGAUGGAUGAUUCGAAAGAAAAGUGACAAACUUUUCUUUUUCUUUUGCUUGUGCUUUUUUUUUAUCGACUUCGAACUCGUCUCCUCCUCGUUGUACACACGGUAUGUAAUACACAUCUGCACACAUUUUAUUAUGAAAUUGAUCGAUCUUUUUUUUUAUGUCUGAUCGUGUACGAAAGAAAAGGAAAACAAGGAAAACAUUCGAUUCGAUUAGAAUCGGUAGAUAGACAAAUCGUACGAGAAAGAGAAAAAGAGAGAGAGAGAGAGAGAGACAAAGUUGAGUAACAAAGAUCGAAUUAUUGUUAUCAUAACCAUCUGGGGGCCUCUCUUUCGCAAGCUUAAAAGCCUGCGACUGUCCGUUAGAUCAAAGGAGGCAACGACGUGUUCCAGAGUGCGGAAUGUACUGUGUAGAUUCCCCAAGCGAAUAGAUUCCGAAAUGAACACGUUAAAGUACCCAAGGGACGUUCAGGAGUUAUGGAUCUCAUGAAGGAUGCGGUCGAUGACGUUCUUACUCGUCACCGACCGUAUCAAUUUUUGGGGGAAGAGCACGGGUGAAUUUUCAUGACCAGGUGGGGGCUACAAUCGGAAGUGGAAGAAAGGAGACAAAAAGUGAUCGAUCGAUCGAUUAAUCGAAGCGAUUUUUGCACAGCAUUCAACGACGCAUUACGAAUCUACCUUAACGAAUAUAAUUGACUGAUUGAAAAAAAGAAAAAAGUAAUGAAUCGUGUUAUACGAUAAAAAAGAAAGAAAAGAAAAAAUGAAGGAAGAAAAGAAGAAGUAAAUUUAAAUGGUAUUUAUUCGACGAUCGGUCAAGUAACAUAAUCAACGAUAUAUAUAUCUAUUUACGUUUGAUAUCGAUCGGAAUAAUUUGUCGAGAAAGUUGAUGAGCUUCGAUAUUCUUUUAGGAAAAUCUUAAAAGCAAAUGGACUUAAAUAUAUAUAUAUAUAUAUACAUAUAUGUAUAUGUGUAUAUAUAUUAUAUACGUGUAUAACGUACACGAACGAUUCUCGAGGAUGGUAAAAAGAAUCUCGUUAGCCUUUCGUAGAAUAUCGAUGAUCCUCAUUAAGUAAUAAUCUUUUAAUUAAUGUUCGGAAAGAAGAAGAAGAAAAAGAAGAACAACAAGAAAAGGAUGUUGAUUAUAUAGGCGCCGUGCCCGUAUGCUGUUUAGACGGACGUGAUUACCUUGUUUUACCGGUUACGAAGACAAGUCAAUGUGUUGUGGUCUAGCCUGAGGACAGACGGCGAUACCAGCGCUAAUCACGCUUGUGAAUUGCAUCUAUAAAUAAAAUAUCCAUAUCUGUGUGGGGAAGGAACGCUUAAAAAAAAAAAAGAAAGAAAGAAAGAAAGAAAAGAGAAGAAAGAAAAAUAAAAAAAAUGAUUACGAUCCUCGGCGAGCGAGCGUUCGUAAUUUUUAAUUUCAAAGAAAACAAAAAACUGGAGGAAGGAAGAAGAGAAGAAAAAAUAUGACAAUGGGAGAAAACGAUCUCGGAAAAAGAAGAGAAGAAAAAAUUUUUCGUUCGCGUUCGUUCGUUCGUUCGUUCGUUCGUUCGUUCGUUCGAACGACGACGACGACGGAGCUGUACUUAAAUUCGAUGACGUUCGCGCGUUACUUAGCGAAUUUCAAUCGCGCGUGAAAAAAAAAGAAGGAAAAAAAGAAAAAAAAGGAGAGAGAGAGAGAGAGAGAGAGAAAAACGAAGAAAACGAAGAAACUCCGACGAAAUAAAACCCUUCGUUUUCGACGACGACUUCGACGUUCGAGUCUGGUUACCGAUCGGCUACUACCACCACCACCAUCGUCAUCAUCACACCAGUACCAGCAGUACCAGUACCAGUACCAGCACCAUCACCAUCACCAUCGACACUACCACAUCGCACCGCAGCACAGUGGUAGAUAGGUAUAAGGACAAAAGGGAAAUCGAUGGUACGAUCUAUCGAUUGGUGUGACAUCGAAGACAAUUAACACGUUGAUUGCCAUGGAGGUCAUCCCAAUUGAUUGCACUUUCUUCUACAAAGAGGUCCGAUUUUCAAACGUAUAUUUAAGAUUUAUUUUGCUGACAUUUUUAUCGAGAUCUUUGUAUCAUUAAUUGCGAGGGAGGAAAGGGAUAAAAAGAAAAGAGAAAAGAAAAAAAGAAAAAAAGAAAGGAACGAAAAAGGAAAAUAAAAAAGAAGGAAAAGAGGGGAAAAGAAAAAAAAGGAAAAAGAAAGAAAAAAAAAGAAAAAAAAGAAGGAGGUAAGGCGUGGGACGUUCCUCGUUGUGGUUUACUUAUUCUUUCAUCCUGUUUCGAUUUUAAUUUAGUAUAUAAUUUAUCGUUCGACAUUCAACGUAUCGGUAUGUUAAUGUUAUAUAAGGUAAGUUCAUACCCUUUUUUUUCCUUUUCUUUUUUGCUUUUAAUUUCUCGGAAAAAGGGAAAAAAUGAUAGGAAAUCCGCAAUGACCGUCUCCUUUCCGUUUUAUUUUCGUCGUGAAUUAUAAGCCCAAUUGAUCAUUAUUACGUCCCGCAUGCGAUUCCGUCUCUUCAAUCUUUUUUUUUCCUUUUUAAAAAACGGAAGC